UCAACUUCGGGUCUGCCGUGGGUACGGCAGACUAGACUGCGGUAGGGGAGAUUGGAAUUCCUGGUGUAGCGGUGGAAUGCGCAGAUAUCAGGAGGAACACCGAUGGCGAAGGCAGAUCUCUGGGCCGUUACUGACGCUGAGGAGCGAAAGGGUGGGGAGCAAACAGGCUUAGAUACCCUGGUAGUCCACCCCGUAAACGUUGGGAACUAGUUGUGGGGUCCAUUCCACGGAUUCCGUGACGCAGCUAACGCAUUAAGUUCCCCGCCUGGGGAGUACGGCCGCAAGGCUAAAACUCAAAGGAAUUGACGGGGACCCGCACAAGCGGCGGAGCAUGCGGAUUAAUUCGAUGCAACGCGAAGAACCUUACCAAGGCUUGACAUACACGAGAACGGGCCAGAAAUGGUCAACUCUUUGGACACUCGUGAACAGGUGGUGCAUGGUUGUCGUCAGCUCGUGUCGUGAGAUGUUGGGUUAAGUCCCGCAACGAGCGCAACCCUCGUUCUAUGUUGCCAGCACGUAAUGGUGGGAACUCAUGGGAUACUGCCGGGGUCAACUCGGAGGAAGGUGGGGAUGACGUCAAAUCAUCAUGCCCCUUAUGUCUUGGGCUUCACGCAUGCUACAAUGGCCGGUACAAAGGGCUGCAAUACCGCGAGGUGGAGCGAAUCCCAAAAAGCCGGUCCCAGUUCGGAUUGAGGUCUGCAACUCGACCUCAUGAAGUCGGAGUCGCUAGUAAUCGCAGAUCAGCAACGCUGCGGUGAAUACGUUCCCGGGUCUUGUACACACCGCCCGUCAAGUCAUGAAAGUCGGUAACACCUGAAGCCGGUGGCCGCAACCCCUUGUGGAGA
rnacentral:rRNA from 1 species